rnacentral:rRNA from 1 species
AGUGAACGCUGGCGGCAGGCCUAACACAUGCAAGUCGAGCGGCAGCGCGGGGGCAACCCUGGCGGCGAGCGGCGGACGGGUGAGGAAUUCGUCGGAAUCUGCCUUUUUGUGGGGGAUAACGUAGGGAAACUUACGCUAAUACCGCAUACGUCCUACGAGAGAAAGUGGGGGACCGCAAGGCCUCACGCAGAAAGAUGAGCCGACGACCGAUUAGCUAGUUGGUGGGGUAAAGGCCCACCAAGGCGACGAUCGGUAGCUGGUCUGAGAGGAUGAUCAGCCACACUGGGACUGAGACACGGCCCAGACUCCUACGGGAGGCAGCAGUGGGGAAUAUUGGACAAUGGGCGCAAGCCUGAUCCAGCCAUGCCGCGUGUGUGAAGAAGGCCUUCGGGUUGUAAAGCACUUUUGUCCGGAAAGAAAUCCCUGGAGCUAAUACCUUCGGGGGAUGACGGUACCGGAAGAAUAAGCACCGGCUAACUUCGUG